AGAGUUUGAUCAUGGCUCAGAUUGAACGCUGGCGGCAGGCCUAACACAUGCAAGUCGAGCGGUAGAGAGAAGCUUGCUUCUCUUGAGAGCGGCGGACGGGUGAGUAAUGCCUAGGAAUCUGCCUGGUAGUGGGGGAUAACGUCCGGAAACGGACGCUAAUGCCGCAUACGUCCUACGGGGGAAAGCAGGGGACCUUCGGGCCUUGCGCUAUCAGAUGAGCCUAGGUCGGAUUAGCUAGUUGGUGGGGUAAUGGCUCACCAAGGCGACGAUCCGUAACUGGUCUGAGAGGAUGAUCAGUCACACUGGAACUGAGACACGGUCCAGACUCCUACGGGAGGCAGCAGUGGGGAGUAUUGGACAAUGGGCGAAAGCCUGAUCCAGCCAUGCCGCGUGUGUGAAGAAGGUCUUCGGAUUGUAAAGCACUUUAAGUUGGGAGGAAGGGCAGUAAAUUAAUACUUUGCUGUUUUGACGUUACCGACAGAAUAAGCACCGGCUAACUCUGUGCCAGCAGCCGCGGUAAUACAGAGGGUGCAAGCGUUAAUCGGAAUUACUGGGCGUAAAGCGCGCGUAGGUGGUUCGUUAAGUUGGAUGUGAAAUCCCCGGGCUCAACCUGGGAACUGCAUUCAAAGCUGACGAGCUAGAGUAUGGUAGAGGGUGGUGGAAUUUCCUGUGUAGCGGUGAAAUGCGUAGAUAUAGGAAGGAACACCAGUGGCGAAGGCGACCACCUGGACUGAUACUGACACUGAGGUGCGAAAGCGUGGGGAGCAAACAGGAUUAGAUACCCUGGUAGU
rnacentral:rRNA from 1 species